UGGGGAAUCUUGCACAAUGGAGGAAACUCUGAUGCAGCGAUGCCGCGUGAGUGAAGAAGGCCUUUGGGUUGUAAAGCUCUUUUGUAGGGGAAGAUAAUGACUGUACCCUAAGAAUAAGGUCCGGCUAACUUCGUGCCAGCAGCCGCGGUAAUACGAAGGGACCUAGCGUAGUUCGGAAUUACUGGGCGUAAAGCGCGCGUAGGCCGUUGAGUUAGUUAAUUGUGAAAUCCCAAAGCUUAACUUUGGAACUGCAAUUAAAAACUGCUCGACUAGAGUUUGAUAGAGGAAAGCGGAAUACAUAGUGUAGAGGUGAAAUUCGUAGAUAUUAUGUAGAACACCAGUUGCGAAGGCGGCUUUCUGGAUCAACACUGACGCUGAGGCGCGAAAGUAUGGGUAGCAAAGAGGAUUAGAUACCC
rnacentral:rRNA from 1 species